rnacentral:lncRNA from 7 species
GGCCCAUCGGGGCCGCCCCAGGGCCGGGCUUCCACACCCGGCAGGAGUUAGCUCGGACAGGGUUUGCCUUCGGGAAGGAUUUAUCCCUCGCUGUAGGGCUGUAGCAGUGUCCCUGGACUCCAACCUGGAGGAGCAUGUUGUCGCUGACACAUUGGGCACCAUACUGAACUGGUGCUUCAAGCAGAGGCUGCUCAACAACAGCCUCCAAGUUCAUGCUGGAUAAGGCCAACCUCAUGAUUGACACGCAGGGCUUCUCCUCCCAGAGCAUCCACAUCCUGAGGUGGAUCACAGAAACCUGCUUUUGGCACAGGAAAAUGCAAAAGGAGGGAGUAAGAAAGAACUGGGAGCAGAAGCGUGCAGCCCUCUGCAAUCUCUAUGGCAGCAUUUCCAGGCCUUAAUCUUCUGCCAGGUACAGCUCAUUUGCAAGCAGUGAGCUGCCAGUGAUCCAUCUGACAUGAUCAAUCCCCAGUGUGACAUCAGCAGUGCUUCAAAGAUCACCAGAAAUGAGGGAACAGGUGCAAGGGAUGGAUGGGAACAGUCAGAAUUAAAAGCUCAAAGUGGUAACAGCAUCUAAUAGUUGGAACCAUGUUUGCUUAGCUUUCAUGGUGGGCAUUAUGUGGAAACCAUGCUCUGUUCCCCCAGCCUUUGUGUUUUGUGUCUAACAAAAGCAUUUUGUGACUUCUUUCUCUUCUUUUUCUUUUUUUUUGCCUUAUUUUGAGGCUCUGCCUAUUCCAAAGCACCACAGCUGUGGAGAAAGGAAUACAAAAAGGUAUCUCAGGGAAUCCAUACCUAGUGACACAAAGAGAAGUGUGGAAGAAUCAAAGUCAUGGCCUGAGAAAAUUAUCUGGUCAGCAAUAUAAAAAAUGGAGAGAGCAGACAGUGUUUGUCAAGACCAGAAAUGUAGAUUUGUCAGUAAUCAAGCUACAAGAUGCUUGAGAUUUGGAUAUCUUUGUGAUGAGAGGGAAGAGCAUGUUAAGUGGUGCACAUUAGAUAAGCUAGGCAUCACUUGGAAACCUGUGUGCCAGGACCUCUUAGUGUCAUGCCUAGGCUGCUGCCAGGGUAGAGGUCCUGUCCACAGAAAGAAAGGAGCAAGACGUGGAAGGAAGGAGAGCCACAUUUUAACCUUGAGUUGAUGGCUAGAUAGCUAUGAGGAAGGAUCCUGGAGCAAUAACUUGGUCUACGGGAGUGAAACCAGAAGUGUAACUGGAUGUGAGUUCUCCUCUUUUGCUGUUGGCUUGUCGUGUGUGAAGUCCACCUCAAGUUGGGCAGAGCCAUGGCAGCCCUCAGUCUUGUUCUCCCAAGGGAUUCUGUAGCUUGGAAAGGUGUUUGAUGCUGGAACCAUGAAAGUAGGUUUAUGCUCCCACCCUAGCCCAGGAGAACAGCUGGGCUGGGUACACUUCCCAGUUCUGAGGCACACAGUUGGGAGAGGGCAGACCACUGCCUCUGCCCAUUUCUGUCUCUGCUUAAUGGCAGCAUGUCUUCUUCUUUCUGUCAAGACCCUGCUCAAGAAGUAGACUGUAAUUGUAAGGAAUUACAGAUUUUAUUUUAGGCAGUCAGUCUUGGGGGUCACAGUGUGGUGCCUUGAAAGACAUGGGUCAGAUAGCAGUGUUGCAGAAAAGCAGAUUUAUCCAGACAGGAUGUAUCCUUGCCUCCAGCCAUGACACUUGGGAAGCCCUCACUGCAAGCCAGCCAGAGCUGACUUACGUGUGCUUGCUAAUUCAGAGGGAAAAAUGGUUUUCUGUUUGAAGUGGGUUUCAGUUAUUUUCUCAGGCUUUUGCUUUGAUGUUUAUCUGAUGCUUUCAAAAGUUAAUUUGCUUAUUUAUUAACAAGGCUGUCUUACUGCAAGCAAAGACCUCAUGGAGCUAAAUAUAUAUCUAGUUCUACAAAUUUUUAUUAGAAAAAAAAAUAUACUAAAACUUUGCAAGGAUUUUAGCAGUGCUAAAAAAAAAAGUGCUAUCUUCCAUGAUAAGCUGGCUUUAGCUACAGAAAUUACAGAGGCCAAAACUUAUUUCUACUGGUUCAUUUACAAUUCACACCAAUGUCAUAUGUUGUCCACAAUAAUAAAUUCCACUCAUGAUAUAAUUCUAGUUUCAGUUCCAUCUGAUAAAAACAGAAAUCUCCGCAGUGGUCUGUAGCAGCUGAGCAUUUGCAAGGUUGGGAUUGCUGUUCUUUGUACACUGCCUUCCUUCUCUAUGUGCUCAGUAUUGACUUUCUAAUCUUCAGUAUAUUACUAAAAAUGUUGAAAGCAUAUUUGCCCUUAAAGUGAGCAAGGUAGCAAGCUGAGGAGCAGACUUGGGUUCAGAUUUUCAUUUCAGUAAUUGAGACUCUUGUUUGCUUCUGUCAAUACGGUAAGAUAAAAAUCUUUUGC